rnacentral:rRNA from 1 species
UACAGAGGUCUCAAGCGUUGUUCGGAUUCAUUGGGCGUAAAGCGCACGUAGGCGGUCUGUUAUGUCGGAUGUGAAAGCCCUCGGCUUAACUGAGGAAGUGCAUCCGAAACUGGCAGGCUAGAGUACUAAAGAGGGUCGCGGAAUUCCCGGUGUAGAGGUGAAAUUCGUAGAUAUUCGCAAGAACACCAGUGGCGAGGGCGGCUCACUGGCCCGAUACUGACGCUGAGGCACGAAAGCGUGGGGAGCAAACAGGG